AUUUUUCAGUCUAGGUGACGCUUUUCAGACGGGUUAAUUAAGAUAAGGUGGUCCUACUUUAUUUAUUUUAAGGGCCGGAGAUCCUGGGCCGUCAUGCUUUGUUGACAUCUCUCAAAUGGGCCCUUUGGUCUGGUCUCCGUAAUGGGUUCGACCCAAAAUUUCCCGGGUCAAGUCGCAGAUGAAACCCUAAAACACAGGAGUUGAAUUCUGAAGAUCGAGAACACGAAUCUCACAAAUUACACCUCGAUUUCGAAGGCUCCAAAAUGUUUGGACGCAGAAGAUUUCUAUCUUUCCCUUUGGUGAUCGGAGCAGUCGUGAUUGGAGUUGUUUCUGGGAAGGCAAUAUUUGGACCCCCACUUGAUGAAUACUGGAAAAAGAAGCUCCAGGAAGAGGCAGCAGCCAAGGAGACUGAUGCAAGCUCCAGGUAGCAAAUUUAGGUUGUUCAACAUUUUUGGUUGUUUUAAAAAGUUGCAGAACAGGGAUGAUCGUAUUCUUUCAUCCCAGUAUUCUUUCUAAAGAGGCUCUUAUAGAUUCAUGUGUUUAUUGUAUCUGAUGUUUUUCAGUAUAAAAAUUAGAAUGGCGUGGAAGCCAAUACUUGUGAUUCUAAA